rnacentral:misc_RNA from 1 species
GAAAUGCGAUAAGUAGUGUGAAUUGCAGAAUUCAGUGAAUCAUCGAAUCUUUGAACGCACAUUGCGCCCUAUGGUAUUCCGUAGGGCAUGCCUGUUUGAGCGUCAUUUACACCUUCAAGCCUUGCUUGGUGUUGGGUGACUGUGGCCCCUUUGGGGCCACUCGCCUUAAAGUCAUUGGCGGCCGGUUCGUUGGCUUUGUAGCGCAGCACAAUUGCGUCCUCGAAGCCGCUGGACCAGCUCCCAGAAGCUAAUUUUAAAUGUUUGACCUCGAAUCAGGUAGGGAUACCCGCUGAACUUAAGC